rnacentral:rRNA from 1 species
UACGAAGGGGGCUAGCGUUGCUCGGAAUUACUGGGCGUAAAGCGCACGUAGGCGGCGCGGUAAGUCGGGUGUGAAAUCUCGGGGCUUAACUCCGAAACUGCAUUCGAUACUGCCGUGCUUGAGGACUGGAGAGGAGACUGGAAUUUACGGUGUAGCGGUGAAAUGCGUAGAUAUCGUAAGGAAGACCAGUGGCGAAGGCGGGUCUUUGGACAGUUCCUGACGCUGAGGCACGAAGGCCAGGGGAGCAAACGGG